AGUCACUGACAUUAGAUACCCCCGUAGUCCCAGCCGUAAACAAUGUGCGUUAGGUGUGUCGGUAACCACGCGUUACUGAUGCGCCGAAGAGAAAUCGUGAAACGCACCACCUGGGAAGUACGGUCGCAAGGCUGAAACUUAAAGGAAUUGGCGGGGGAUCACCACAACAGGUGGAGCCUGCGGUUUAAUUGGAUUCAACGCCGGACAUCUCACCGGAUAAGACAGCUGAAUGAUUGUCAAUCUGAAGGUUUUACAUGACUAGCUG
rnacentral:rRNA from 1 species